AGAGCGAACGCUGGCGGCAGGCCUAACACAUGCAAGUCGAGCGCCCGUAGCAAUACGGGAGCGGCAGACGGGAUAGUAACACGUGGGAACGCGCCCUUCGAUUCGGAAUAACUCAGGGAAACUUGAGCUAAUACCGGAUACGCCCUUACGGGGAAAGAUUUAUUGCCGAAGGAACGGCCCGCGUCCGAUUAGCCAGUUGGUGAGGUAAUGGCUCACCAAGGCGACGAUCGGUAGCUGGUCUGAGAGGAUGACCAGCAUCACUGGGACUGAGACACGGCCCAGACUCCUACGGGAGGCAGCAGUGGGGAAUAUUGGACAAUGGGCGCAAGCCUGAUCCAGCCAUGCCGCGUGGAUGAUGAAGGCCUUAGGGUUGUAAAGUCCGUUUUAACGGGGAAGAUAAUGACGGUACCCGUAGAAUAAGCCCCGGCUAACUUCGUGCCAGCAGCCGC
rnacentral:rRNA from 1 species